CACCAUGGCAGUGCCAGGGAGAUGACAGGUCCCCAAGAGGGGUGCAUAUCCCCAUGAAGGCCUUGUGUGUCAGCCCCAAAACAGGUUUCAAAUCUGGUUGUGUAUGGAAGAAGCAGUACUGCAGCUCCUUCCUGGUUAUCUGAUAGCCAAAUCCCACCAAACUCUAAAGUGACUUGUCAGAGAUGCACACUGGAGUGGCAGAGCCAAGGGGCCAAAGGAAAGGCAGUUCCUUGUGACAUUAUCUUAAUGUCAGGCUGAAUCUGCUUGUGCUGCCUACAUGGAGCUCUACCCAAAAGGAUAAAGCAAGUUAGCAAAUGUUUGUCAGUCAAUAAAAGUUAUCUUCAAAGAAGCAAGAGAACAACAAUGUGGCUUUGGAAGAUGCCAAGAGGAAGGAAGUUUUCUCCUCUCUUUCCAGGCAUCUUUGUUUCCCAGAUUUCUGGCCAGGAACAGAACCUGGAGUGCCCAAGUGCUGCGGUGAAGCAGGCUGUCAUGACAUUUCCAACCCAACCAGUAGUGCAGGAAAUCUCCCAAGAAAGAUUGUUUUUAUAGGCUCCCAGAAGGCUUGCAUAUGUCAGAUACGCUUAUCCAGACCAAACCCAGCCUUCCUGAAAUUCAUUCCUCACUAACAUUAAUGCUUUUUUCCAUGUCAGUUUGAGUGGUGUGAGAUUUUUGGCAACCAGGGAGUAGUAAAGAUUUGUUUACAGCUGUUUUGGAAUGGAUGCUGGUUUGUUUAUUGUAAUUCAUGCCAAAUAAAUAUUUCAUAACAAGUAAUAUAUUCCA
rnacentral:lncRNA from 1 species